rnacentral:rRNA from 1 species
UUGGAGGGCAAGUCUGGUGCCAGCAGCCGCGGUAAUUCCAGCUCCAAUAGCGUAUAUUAAAGUUGUUGCAGUUAAAAAGCUCGUAGUUGAAUUUCGGGAUCAAUAUAUCGGUCGUGCCAUCGGUACGUACUGGUAUGAUUGGUUUCUCCUUUCUGACGAACCAUGAUGUCAUUAAUUUGGUGUUAUGGGAAGUUAGGACUGUUACUUUGAAAAAAUUAGAGUGUUUAAAGCAGGCUUUAGCUUGAAUACAUUAGCAUGGAAUAAUGAAAUAGGACGUUCGAACCUAUUUUGUUGGUUUCUAGGAUCAACGUAAUGGUUAAUAGGGAUAGUUGGGGGCAUUAGUAUUCAAUUGUCAGAGGUGAAAUUCUUGGAUUUAUUGAAGACUAACUACUGCGAAAGCAUUUGCCAAGGAUGUUUUCAUUAAUCAAGAACGAAAGUUAGGGGAUCGAAGACGAUCAGAUACCGUCGUAGUCUUAACCAUAAACUAUGCCGACUAGGGAUCGGACGAAGUUAAUUUUAUAAUGACGCGUUCGGCGCCUUACGGGAAAC